AUUCUUUCAGCAUCUCCACUCUUCUCAUCAUUGCUUUCCUCUCAGCCUCCGCCCAUGCUGCCACUUUCGACAUCCGAAACAAUUGUCCCUACACAGUCUGGGCUGCAGCGGUACCUGGCGGUGGUCGAAGGCUAGACCGAGGCCAAACAUGGACCAUCAACGUGGCAGCCGGCACAGCCGGAGCUCGUAUCUGGGCUAGAACAAAUUGUAACUUCGAUGGAAACGGCCGUGGCAGCUGUCAGACCGGUGACUGCGGUGGAGUUCUUCAAUGCACUGCCUACGGUAGACCACCCAAUACUCUAGCAGAAUACGCACUGAACCAGUUCAAUAAUCUGGACUUCUUCGACAUUUCCCUUGUUGAUGGCUUCAAUGUGCCGAUGGAUUUCAGCCCUACAUCCAAUGGCUGCACCCGGGGCAUCAGGUGCACCGCCGACAUAAAUGGGCAGUGCCCAAGUGUGCUUAAAGCUCCAGGAGGUUGCAACAAUCCAUGCACUGUUUUCAAGACUGAUCAGUAUUGCUGCAACUCAGGCAGCUGCAGUGCGACUGACUAUUCCAGGUUCUUCAAGACUAGGUGCCCGGAUGCAUACAGCUAUCCGAAAGAUGACCAGACUAGCACAUUCACUUGCCGAGGAGGAACCAACUAUAGGGUUGUCUUUUGCCCAUGAAAAGAUCCUUAAAACGAAGACUUGCUUGAGACUAGUUAAAUAUUUAUACAUGCAUGGCACAAUAAUUUGCUGGACACAACACAUAAUGUCAUCUGCAAAUGCAAUAUUCAGUUCAAAUAAAAACUAUGAACUGAUAAUAAAGUUAAUAGCUACUGGAUGUUCGUGUUAUUUCUUACUCUAAUAACCUGUUUAAUAUUCAUUGAAUUAUUUCUUUUUCCUCGGUAGUUUCUUCCUCUCAAGUCGAAUGUGUGAGUUAUUCGAAAGAAAAAAUGGUUCAAUUUUUUUUUGAGGCAAAAAAAAAGGUUUAAUAUUUUAGUUGAAUAGAAAGAAUAUACAUAUAAAAUUUGAAGAAGAAGUGGAAAAUCGAAACGAUUUGAAACUAAUUCCCCCCAUAAGAGAAAUUGAUAGUCUUUUACAAGGAGCUAGAGAAAACAAGGGAUUCAAGUCCACACAAUUUUUUUUUUCACAGCAAUUGUUUUGUUGGCGCAGGAUUACCCUAGUAAAUUGCCUACAAAAAGAAUAUGGUCUAGCCUAUUUUCUUUCUCAAUUUUCAGUUUUAUUCUUACGCAAGACCCUAUAUCUAUCCUGCUCGGGGUGAUCGAAGGUGCGUUCAUCAAUAUGAAACUCUAUAGUGGUCUCUAUCUCACAAUUGCAAUAAAACAUUAUAAGCGACAAACUCUUCCUAAAAAUGGACAUCCCUUUCUCUUUAAUUUAUGUGUUUUUUUUGUGUGAACACGUUUCAAUGUACAGUUUUUUUAUGGCGGGUUCAAGAGAAGAUCCAAACCUUAUAAGAAAAAAGGAGAAAAGAAAAGGAUUUGAGAUUCGAACUAGAAACUUCAAAAUCAUCUUGUUAAUGUCUCUAGACCAACUAAAUUGGAUUUUCUGGACAUUCAAUGUAUAGUUUGAUCCAUUUAAAUAUGCAUAUUCAUUUGCAUUCACAUAUACCUUGAACAGAUAACAGGGCUUGAUUAGUAUAGUAUCUUCUUUUAAUUUGUGGUAACUGACCAUGCAUGUUAAUAUAUCCCACCCCUUUUGCCAACCAUUAUCUCAUAUGGGUCUAGGCAGAUGAAUAUGCAGUAUGAACUUGAUUCGGGAACAGUCGUUUCCUCAUCUGCUAGAUAAACUCUUUCCGCAUAUGGAUUCUUUCAUUAUCAAGAAAAAUUUUGUCGCAGCCAACACAGUAGGACAUAUCUGCAGCUUUGAUGCAACCAUUGAAAGAAGCCAUUCAAAGGUGACAACCACAAUUUAGUGUCUCGAGACUUUAAAGUCAAAGUCUUGGGAUUACCAACAGCUCAAAAGGCUAGCUGUUGGCACCAAACUGGUGAUUGCAAUGGUAUUAUUCAGUGCACCACCUAACACCCUAGCGGAAUACGCAGUAAAUCAAUUCAAUAACCUAGACAUCUUUGACAUUUCUCUUGUUAAUGGCUUCAACGUCCCACUGGAGUUUAGUCCUGCAUCCAAUAACUGCAGACUAGACAUUUACCUCCCCUGCAGCGAUGACCAGACUAGGACAUCUACCUUUUGCCGGUAAAAAUUUAAGUUAGAGCAAAGCAAGAGCUCUAUCGUUUCCAUAAAGAGGAUUUGCAAGUUACUGCAAAGUAUUCACGGGCUCCAUCACUCUGCUCGUCCUUUAACAUUUUGUUUUCAUUCUUUUUGAAGCAUUUCUUUGCCACGGUAUAUAUUUUCUUACUCGCAAGUUCGGAAUCUCAGUUUAGCGUUUGAAGAAAUACAAUAAAUGUAUAAGUAGUCCCAUUGCGUGAUCAAGAUGAGGGAUUAACAUUUAAUCGGUCCAAUUUCAAUCGAUUUUAUUCCUUUCCUUGAGGUUGUAGCUCUUGUAACCAAGUUAACUUGUGUAAAUAUCAAAUCUUGUAUUUUAAGGUCUCAUGAGUAAGAGGGUGCUGAUCGACAAGCAGUCCUAACAGCCAAUAUAUGUCCCUAAGUCCGGAUCACUUCAACGAAGCUCACUUAAAGUUGAAACAAUAUUCAUUUUCCUAGUCAGUCCUCCGAAUAUGCUAUCCAGAAAGUAUUCUGAAAACGUGCUUAGUUUGGGUGUAUAAUCUUGAGAAUUAGAUCAGUAUUUAAUAUGUCAAUCUGGCAACAUAAUAUUUCCUACUAAAUCGUCUUUCCUCGUUUUCUACUCAUCUAAUAUUUGUCUGGACUCAUCAAUGUGAAGUUUAAUAAACAAUACAAUAAUGUGAUUGUGGCUGCUUCUUCUUUAGCUAUACAAAGAAUUGUAAAAUCCCACUCAAAAGUUUAUAAUCACUAACAUGUUUUUGUAAGUACAAUUUUUAGAAUAAUAGAACACACCAACAAAAAUUGUGGAGAAUUUUAUACCUUUUGCUUCAUUUUCUCUUUGAGAGAGAUUUGUUUCCCACAUGUUCACAAGAGAUACUUCGAAGAGCAGAUUAAAGAUUUCAAUUGAAUCAAACGCUAGUCAUUAUAGCUAUUAUCCUCGGAAAUUAGUUAUACAGUGGUAGAAUUAAAAAUUAUUCCAGUUGAGGCACAAUAUAAAAUGAAAAUAGUUUAGUUCGACCAGUAGAAUUAGACAUUAAGAUCCACAUCCCAAAUAAUAUAUGUACUCACUAAAUAACACAAUAUGAAAGCAUUAACUUUUCAUAUUGGAAAUCUCUCUAGUAGACUAAACUUGUAUUUAAUAGAAUCGGGUUUGUACUUUUAGGCAUCGUCAAAGUAAUGGAUUGUGAUUUUGACUUGAUUUUUCUACAAAGAGUUAUCAUAAUAUAUGAGAUUCUUUUGGCGAAAAAAGAUGUCGUAUGUAAUCUGGUAAGAGCAGUUCUAAUGGUUUUCAUGCUUAUUGGAUCAUCUAAUUCAGGGAUCUACUAAUGGUCAUGUCAUGGUAACAUUAUGAUGUCAUUUGAUAUUUUAGUUGAUUGUUAUCUGACAAGAACUUUCCUUACUAUAGUUUGUCAGAGUAACUCUAAAGUCCAGAUACACUGGAAGGGAGCAGCUGAAAUGGUUUUAAACUCAUGUGCCUUGACAUGUUUGGCUGCUUGCACUCCAUAGGUUAGGAUAAAGACAGAUAAGCUUGCGUUCAUUAGUGGAAAACUGCUUAAGCAGAAACUAUGGCAUAGUUGGAAGCUAUUGGAGUCAAGAGAUUACAGGUAAGUUAUUUUUCUUUUGCUUUCUUUGAAGGGUAUUGAUUUCUACAAGACAGCAGGGAAAACAGGGCAACCAUACGACUACCUCUCUGAUAGCAAAUGUGGCAAGCAGGACGGAAGAUUAUCUAAUACGGAGGAGGAAUAUUUUUGAUCCUACAAAGAAACUGAAUGACAUGAAAAUAGAUAUGACUUAUCUGGAAUGGUACAAGAAGGUGUCGAUUGAGCUGGGAGGAUACUAUGAUAGUUACAAACUUGGAAAAGUAGGGAUGAAAUCAAAAGCAGACACGAAAUCAUGAAGCGCAAGAAAAUUCUUACUCGAUACUGGAGAGGCAUAGUUGAUGAAGCAGAGCAAAUGCCUCAAAAAUGAAGGGGUGGCUUUUUAGACUCGUUGUCUUUUUGCACAGGAACCAAUUACCGAAGAAUGGUUGAACCACUUGACACUAGAUAGACAAUAGAUGGUUUGGGUAGGAGAAGAAAGGUGUAGCCCAAAUAUUUACAUUGAGUGGAAAAAUCAAUUUCCACUAGUAUUGUUAUUAAGGAAUUUUUUUUCUUCGUAUAUACAAUUUCCUAAGAUUUUUAUUAAAGCUAAACAAUGGAAUGAAUUUUUCAAUUCCCUAUAAGAAGGAAUAUGUGAUUAUAAUUUGUAGAAAGUAAAGGUAGAGGAAAGAAAGACAAUAUUCCAAAGUUGGAAAAUAUUUUCAAAUGUUAAACAAACACCAGAAAAUGAAGUUAGAUAAUAUUUUCAAUAGGCUAACCAAACAUCCAAAAAUGAUAAAAAGGAAAUGAUUUUCCUGGAAAAAUACUUCAAUGAAAAAUAUUUUUUCAAGGAAAACAUUUUACUCCCAACCAAACGGACCCUAAGAUUCGCAUCCCAAAUAAUAGCAAGUAGAUCUGUACGUACUCACUAAAUAACACAAUAUGAAAGCAUUAACUUUUUCAUAUUGGAAAUCUCUCUGGUAGACUAAACUUGUAUUUAAUAGAAUUGGGUUUGUACUUUUAGGCAUCGUCGAAGUAAUGGAUUGUGAUUUUGACUUGAAUUUUCUACAAAGAGUUAUUAUAAACACAUAUACAUACAGAUAUAUAUGUUUGCAUACAGAUUUUUGGGGCCAAAAGAAAGCUUUUUUUUUUUUUUUUUUCUAAAUUGCAAGUUAAAUUUUAUUUUUCAUUGGGGGCACACAUAUAAACUUUUUGGGUGAAAACAAAAAAUUUCUUUGAAUUUUUGAUACUUAAAAUUUUAAUUUAUUUUCACCAGCAUAAACAAAACCAAAAAAUUUCCUUAAAAUAGGAGAGAGGGGUUUGGAGCGAAAAAAUCGUGUCAUUUAAUGUAUUAUCAAAUCUAUCCUUACUUCUAAAGAGAAUUACAUCAUUUUAACUCAUAUUUGUUGAAUUAGCUAUCACUUCCCUAACCGAAAAAUACCACUUUUUUUUUAAAAAAAUAAUACAACAAUUUAACUAUUUUAAAUUACUAUUUUUCAACAAAAAAAAUAAUACUAAUCAUUUUUUUAUAUCUUUUUAUUAGUAGUACACACAUUGGGUGUGCCGUAACCACAAGUAUUAAAUUAUUUGUAGAGACAAAAGGUCGAAUCUACAACAAAAAAAAAAAAAAAAAAACUUCUAAAGAGAAAAAUGAAGCAAUUUUCCACAAUUUGGGACGGCGGCCCCUCCCCACCAAUGCCACCCUAUAGUUCCGUCCAUGCCCACUGACUGACUUACUUGUAGAUCCUCCUCCCAUGUAGUUAUGAUCAGCAGAUUUUUCUGAAUACUUUUUUAUUCUAUGUUUUCCGCAGUCAGUGACCUAUCGAAGAAAAUUCUACUCUACUCUACGCGGCAAAGAAAGGCAGCUGCUACUUUCAAGCGGCGCUGAGGUGAGGACCGUUGUGAUAGCUCGAAAUGUAAAAUCUGCAAUUUUUCUUCCGCUCGAAAUCUCCUGAAGUCUUCUUCGUCCCUUUUCUUUUAGCUGCAGCUUUCAUUGCCAGAAAACAAGUGACUGACGUGCCAGCCCUGGAAUUCUUAUCCACAUGAUAAGGAGAGUAUAUACGAACAAAUUAGUCAAAUAUGUGGCUAAUUCCAGAGUCUUUCGACCUAAUUCGGCCAAACCCUUGGAAUUCCAGUGGACAAGAUCAUGUGCAAGGUGUCCUUUUCUUUUCAUCUUUUUUGUUUUAUCUUUGCUCUUCUUCGAAGGUGGUUGGGCUCGCGGGACAAGGGCCGGCUUGUGCCAUCAAUGCUUGAGAGUACGUAAGAUUAGCUCUCCUUUGUGUUUUUUGACUUUUUCUCGUUGGAAAAUUUUUAUAGCUUGGACAUGUUAUUUUUAAUGUUUUUGCAGAUUUGUUGCUCUAUUUUUUUUUUUUUUUUGAGUUUCUAGACCCUUUUAUUUAAUUAGUUACGUGUUUGAUUCUUUAAACUACAUCGCGCUUGAAACUUGUAGAAACACCUCAUUCAACAAUUAAUUAAAGAAACAAUAGAAUUAUUGAAAAUGGAUUAGUCUUAGCUUAGAGAGAUGGAUUAGUAAUUAUUGAAAGUCAAGAUGGAUUAGUCUUAGCUUAGAGAGAACUAGAUUGCCAAUAGAAUUCCCUUACCGCCACGGGGCUUGUUUUGACACUUCGUAUCCACUUCCUUUAGAUUAAUAAUUACAAAAUAAGAUGAUAAUAAUAUCAUUGGUUAUGUAACUCAUCAUUUUCUCAAGAAUUGAGUAACACAUGCACUAAAAUAGAUUUUUAAAACUUCUUUCCAACACGAGAAGAGUGGAUUUACAUAAUUUAUUAUUCACAAGGGGAAGGAUAUUUUUUCUACACAUAGAAUAAAAAUUUGUCACAAAAUAAAAAAUAAAAAAUUUACACCUAUAAUUAAUGCACGACAAAGUCAGUCCAUCAAAAGGAGCAAAACUUUUGGAUUACCACCUUACAAAAGUUUUCUCUCAUUCUGUGAAAGGUCUCAAGCUCAUAUUCCAUUUGUGUCAUAAUCAAAUUCUGUUUUUUUUUUCUAGUUUCUCCUCCAUUUUACACUGGCAGUUUUAUUGAUACUUAAACCACGAAAGAAGAAAAAGAGGGAACAUAGAAAACAGUCCAGAUAUUGAUAUAUACCAGGCCAAAGUAGAGAAGAUAGUAACUUAAUUUAUCAUCUUCAUCAUUUGACUGUUCCAACAAUCCUUGUUCCACGACUGACAAUCCUUCAUCAUUUGCAAGGUUCAACAAUUUACGCCCCAGCAUUGUCAUUGUCCCAUUCAUAUAUAUGAAUCUAUUUUCCUCAUUGGAAUACUUUUGAUCGUAUUAGAAUACGUUUUUGUAGACCAAAUCAAGCAGAAAUUACUGAACGAACGAAGCUUAAUUAAUCCGUGAUGCAACACGAGCAUAUUCUACAGAAAACUAUAGAAUAUCCAAUCUCAAAUAUGUCAAGGCAAUAAAUUAGAAAGAUUAGUUUUUAUUUGAAUCUUUAAUAGCAAAUCCUAAUCAAGAAAGGGAGAUUUGUAGAAAGAGAAGUGGUAAAUGCAAUCUAAAGUUUUUUUUUUUUUUUUUUUUAAAAAUUGCAAAUAAACAUAAACAUGGCCCGUUCCCAUGGGAACCAUACUACUAAAGAAACAAAUAUAUAGUGCGUUUUACCAUGGCAUUCUUUGUUGAAAAAUUCUACUAAUCCACAAUGGGCGGCAUGAAAGGUGAGUACGCGUCGUUGCAAUAAGUACCGCUUAUUCCAAUCGCAGAAAAUAGAGAAUUACUCUAAAGCAAAAGACCAAAAUAGAUGUAAAUAGUGAAGAUGGAUUGUUAUCUUCUCUCUCAUUGCGUGGGCACUAUAAGCAUAGUCUGAUUGAUAAAAUGUUUUAUUUGUAAUCAAUAUUGUGGGUCACGAAUUCGAGCCAUUAAGGAGUAAGUGAAUGAAAAACUAUUAUUGAUCCUCCUAAAUAUUAGAAAAAAAAAGUAGCAAUUCAUAAAACCAUAUCUCCUAAAAAUAAAAUUCUAAAGGAUUGAUUCUGGAGUUCUUCACAAAAAUAUUUAACUUGCCACUUGAAACUCAGUAAAGCACUUUUUUUUUUUUUUGUUUUUUUGUUUUGGGUAAGUGGAAUGUCAGUAAAGCGCCAAAUUGUAUUCUAAAAUGCAUAAUAAUUCCCUCUUGCUCAACAGAGGCUAAUGGAUUGAAAUAUUGAUGCUUCCCAAAAUUAGCCGUCAAAUGUGGUUCUUGACUUGGGUGGUACAAUUGUAUGCCCGUCGCUCCAACAUGGCGCGACGGGCAGCAAAAAUUUUUUUUAAAAGUUCUUCUGGCCGUCGCGUCAUGUUGGAGCGACGGUCAGAGGUGUCAGAAAUUUCUGACCGUCGCUCCAACAUGGCGCGACGGUCAGAAAUGUUUUUUUUUUUUUUUAAAUCCUCCUCCUUAUUUUGAAAAAACAAAUUUUCUCAAGCAUCUAUAACCUUUGACCGUGGCUUUAUUGAUAGCUUUUUUCACGUGAAACCUUUCCGUGAAACCUGUGUAAGUUGCCAUUCGUUCAUCAUUGUUAGGUUGAUGCAUGCAAUAAACAGACAAAUGGAGUCGAUUAUUGAUUGUCCUCAUUUAGUAUGGCCUCUCCUCUCCUUGUAGACAUGUUCUGCAGGACAUCUGCCAGACGUAUACAAAAUUUAUUGAGCAGAAACCUGCAGCCUUUGACCGCUUGGGACUGCAGCUUUAUUUUUUUGGCUUGUUUUGUGUCAGGAACAGGCGUAGACAGCUUUUGUUUUAUUUUUCAAUGACACUUUAGUCACUUCAACAUGGAGCAACGGGCUAGAGAAAUGCACAAUUCCUUCGCUUAUAAAUUGUUCUUCAGAGCAACUCCCAAUUCCAUUUCCAUAAGCACAACUUCAGUCGUAUCUUUUUUUUGCCGAGACUUUCGUUUCUCCCUCUUCCCUCUAAUCAUAAACGGAGCUCCGCAUCUCCAUUUCUCAUGUCGGUAAAGCCUCUGCAUUCUGUUCAAGCUUGGGUGUGUGAAGUGAAAUAAAUAUUGUUUGAAGUUACAAACAAUAUUUGGACGGAGACAGAGAUCCUUGAAACUUAGCUACAUUCGGAAGGAAUUCUGAAGGAGCUCCUCCAGUGAAGUCUGAAGCUAUAAUAUUUGAACGGAGAUAGAGAGCUUGGGGUUCGGUCAGUAGAGGGCCUUUGAUUUGAACAGUCGUGUUUGCAAGUCUCGACAGGCGAAAUUCUCGCAGAAACUCCAUCAUUGACUAGGGAAAAACAACAAUAAUCAAGUAAGUAAAAUACUUAUCAACUUUUUUAAUUAUUAUUCAUAAAUAUUGUUUACUAUAAUUUGGAACAUAUCAUUCAUGAUUAUUAAUUGUAUAAUAUUGUUUGUUAUGUUUUAAUGUGAAUUCUAUUUUUGUGUUAUAUUAUAUAUUAUUUGUGAAAUCUAAAUAUGACAUGACAUUGUUUAUAUUUUAUUUCGUAUUAGUGUUUUUUAAUUGAUAUGGUAAAUUAGAGUAUUUUUUUGUUGUAGCAUGGUGAUUAGUUGAAAUUAAUGAAUGUAGUAUUAAUGAAUUGUAUAAUACUAGGUAUGUGGAAGAAUAUGUGAUAACCCAGUAGAGUAGUUAGUUAGUGAUUAGUUUAAUUAAUUAGUAAGGUAAAUUAUUUGAUUAGAUAUUAAUUAACCAUAUCACUAGUCAUCCUAUUAAAAAGGAUAAAUUUAAGUGUUGUUACCAAUUAAUAUACUUUAAACACAUGAUUAAAGUUAACAAUAAAUUAAUAUAGUUUUAUCACGUGAUUAAUACUUUAAACAAUAGGUGCAGACAUAUGGAUAUGUUAAUAGAUGCUAUUAAUUUUUUUAAUAUUACAUGUAUAUCGAAUUAAAGGUAAUUAGUGUAGAUAUUUUACAAAACUAUUUAUAGUUACAAAUAUAUCUUAAUAUUUUAAAUUAUUUGGAGAGAAAUUUUUUAUGAUUAAUUUAUCAAUAAACUUUUAGACUCCAUAUUAGUGUUGUAGCAUGUUAAAUACAUGCUGUUGAACUGGUUCGUAAUACAAAUAUAUUAAUUAGUUUUAAACGUAAUUAACUUAACAUAAAUAUGUUAAUUAGGGUUGAACUUAACAUAGAUAUAUCACUCGACUGCUUACGUAAUUUAAAUAAAAAUACAAAAAGUUGUAAAUUCUAUGCACUGAUUAGGUAUAAUAAUUAUGUUAAAAUAAUAUUAAAUUAUAUAAUUUACUCCAUUUUUAUUAUAUAAUUUACUCCAUAUAUUAUAUUAACGUCUUUAGUAGAUUAGGUGAAACAUGUCAAGCGGUAAUUGUCUGAUGAUGCAAUUCUAUUGGGGAGGAAAAAUUGUGUAUGCUGGCGGGUCAAUAUCAUAUGAUCCACCGUUGCCCAAAAAGGUCAUGUUCCUCACAGAAAGGGUGAAUUUUGAUGGAUUGGUGGACAUUGUAUAUAAUAUGAUGGAGUUAAACCGAAAUACUCAUAAAAUUAACUUGAUAUUUCGAAAUUGCAUGCAAAAUGGUGUGUUCGGUGCCACGCCCUUGGUAGAUGAUAAUGGAGUUGAUGGAAUGUAUUUUUUGAAAGCUAAUAGUGGUCAUGGGACAGAGAUAUAUAUCGAGGUUGAAUCGAUUCUAAAUUUCAAACAUGAUGAUAUGCAAAAUUUGCAUAUUACAAGUUUGCAUGGUAAUCAAGACCCAAGCAUAUAUGGAUCGGAACAUAUGGAUGUGGUGGGGACAAUUGGCUUAUAUGAGAGUCAAUUGACCCAAGUAGAUUGUGAAAAUGUUCGAUCGGCUCGAAGAUCUAGGAGAAAGGGUAAUAGACGCCGCUACAUCUGGGGGUUCCUUAGAUGCAGACUUUAGCCAAAUAAAUGAUUUGCUUGGUGCCACGGGAGGUGGUUCUACUACUGUAGAUCUUCCGGAUUAUAGCACUCUUGGUCAGACUAUGUUCAUGCCUACUCAUACCCAACCAAUGGGCAUGUCAGGACACACUGUUCCAGGAAAUUUUAACGACUAUCGUUCCAAAGACACUGAUGACAGUGAUGGGACAGCUGAGUCGACAGGCGAGGAUACCCUUGUCUCUGAUAACGCAGAUGAAGAUUAUGGCCCAUCUACUGCUGUUCCACAAGUUCCUGCUCUAGUUAUCGGAGAUCGAGUGCAACGUAAUCGUCAGAGAAGGCCUGCUACUAGAUAUUGUUGUCCCCCGACGAUAUCUCAGGAGAAGGAUAAGGGCAAGGCUAAGGGCAAGGCUAAAGGUAAAGGCAAGAAAACUGCGAGGCAUUGAUAUUAUUUUGUCUUCGACGAUAUUUUAUAUCUCAUCCAUUUAAUUUAAUGCAUUUCACAUGACAUUUAAUUUAAUUUUGUUGUCUACUUUUUCUGUUUAAUCCAAUCACUUUUAAUUUGAAUAACGUUAAACAUUUUUAAAAUAAAGAAGUACAAGUUAUUUUAUUAAACCCUAUAAUUGGAUAGAAGGGUCCCUAUACGAUAAUACCUACAAAACAAAUAAAUACUAGUCGUUUUAUAGCUAUUUUAAUACAUUAAAUUAUUAAAACUAAUUAUCGUAUAUCAAAUAAUGAAACGCAAAAAAUUCUUCAUUUCUACAAAUAUGUUAUUAAUAUUUUUAUACCAUUACAUUUUAUAUGAAAAUUCAAAUAUAUAAAUCGUAAUUCAUAAAAUAAUUUUUCAUUUUUUUAUACAAUUACGGUUCCUUUAACAUUCUGUGUGCAUGAUACAUAAUAAAGUUAAAAUUAACAAAUCAUAAUAAUAUUAAGCAAUACUUUCAUCCAUUACGCAAUCACUUCAAUUUAAAUCAUAUUAUUAAAUUAUUUUUUAAAUUUAACAAAUCAUAACAGUUACGCAUGUUACAUAACUUAAACUUGAUAAAAUGGUAAACAUUAAUUCUUUAAGAAUUCCCUAAAUCCUUUAACAAAUGAAUCAAAAUUUUUAAAUCUAAUCUCCUUUAAAAUACUUGUUUUUAAAAUUUUGUCAAACUAAAUGCAUUGUUUUAAAACUUUUCAUUUUAAAUAAUUUUUACAAAAAAUUUUUUGAGAAAUUUCCAAAUGAAUUGGACAAAGAUUUAAAAAAAACAUUUCUAAAUCACUGAGUUGAAGGAUUUUUUAUUAAAACAAAUUCUAAGUUAUCUGUAAUGUAAACCCUAACCCUAACCCUUACCGUAAGUGUAACCCUAACAAAAAAUUUUCUUUUUUCACUGAGGAAGAGGAUUUUUUUAAAAAAAAAACAUUUCUGACCGUCGCGCCAUGUUGGACCGACGGUCAGAGGAUUUUAAAAAAAAAAUAAAUUUCUGGCCGUCGCGCCAUGUUGGAGCGACGGUCAGAAAUUUCUGACACCUCUGACCGUCGCUCCAACAUGGCGCGACGGCCAGAAGAACUUUAAAAAAAAAAAAUUUUGCUGCCCGUCGCGCCAUGUUGGAGCGACGGGCAUACAAUUGUACCACCCAAGUCAAGAACCACAUUUGACGGCUAAUUUUGGGAAGCAUCAAUAUUUCAAUCAAUUAGCCCUCAACAGAAAGAAAAUUAAAAAAAUAAAUCUUUUUUUCUGGGCCAUCUUCUGGAAACGUGGUCACAGAAUGGGCCCCAAGUCUUUCAAUGCUAGCUUUUCUGCCCGUCCCCAAGUAAGAACUAAGAAGUGGCUGCCCUGACUUGAAUUUUCUUCUCCAAGACUGCAAGUGCUUAGUCAAUCUAUCCACCCAUUCAGUAUACUGGAAAUAAUACCAUUUCAAAUUGUCCAAUGACAUUAGGAUAGACACUUUGGCCUGACUUUCCCACUAGUCCCGUAUGCCCACAAAUCCUAUAAAUACCCACCCAUUCUCUUAAGCCUCAUUCAUACAAGCACAACUUUCUCCAUUCCUUAACCAUGAAAACCUUCAAUUCUUUCGCCUUUUCCACUCUUCUCAUUGCUGCCCUCCUCUCAGCCUCCGCCCAUGCAGCCACUUUCGACAUCCGAAACAAUUGUCCCUACACAGUCUGGGCUGCAGCGGUCCCCGGCGGUGGCCAGAGGCUAGAUAAUGGCCAAACAUGGACCAUCAACGUGGCAGCCGGCACAACCGGAGGUCGCGUUUGGGGUCGGACAAACUGCAACUUUGAUGGCAGUGGCCACGGCAGCUGUCAGACCGGUGACUGUGGUGGACUUCUUCAGUGCACUGCCUACGGUGCACCACCAAAUACUCUAGCAGAAUUUGCAUUGAACCAGUUCAGUAACCUGGACUUCUUCGACAUUUCCCUUGUUGAUGGCUUCAAUGUGCCGAUGGAUUUCAGCCCUACAUCCAAUGGCUGCACCCGGGGCAUCAGCUGCACAGCCGACAUAAA
rnacentral:lncRNA from 1 species